AAGCAAAAGAAGAAAAUAGGAUCAAUAAAUGGAAAUAUCAAGAAGAAUUGUCUGAUAUAAAUGCAGACCUUGGGCUUGCUAAAAAUCAGCAUUUAUCUCUCAGGAGUUGUGUUGGGAGCUAUAAAUAUGGACUUACAAGGUAUGGUGCCAUUCCUCAAAGGACAUGAAUAUUUCUCUCCUAUUUAUGAUAUUUGCUAUCCUGUGUUUGUGACGUCAACUUUUUAACCAGGACUAUUAGACUUUAUACUUAUCUUCUAGAAUUACUUUUUACUGAAUUUGAUCCAUUGUUCCAACAUUUAUAAUGAAAAAAAAACCUGAUUUUUCAGUCAUGAUUAUGUUAUUCAAUACUUAACUAUUUCUCCAAAUUAAAACACAUCUUUUCUAUAUCCAUAUCCAUUUUUUAACUCAAAAUUGUGAAUAAGGCUCAUAACACAUUCAAAAAUGAGCCAUGUAAUUGUCAUGGUUUGAGAAUAAUUGUUCAACUAACACAUAUCCACAUAAUUUAUAAACAUCGUCUCCACAUAUAUCUUGUCCAAAAAGACAUCAACAGAAUACCCAUUAA